UUUGAGGGAAUUCCGAGGGGAUUUUAGGGAAUUUUUGAGGGAAUUCCUAGGGGAUUUUGGGAGUUUUUGAGGGAAUUCCGAGGGGAUUUUUGGGAAUUUUUGAGGGAAUUUCGAGCGGAUUUCGGGAGAAUUUUGAGAGAUUUUCCGAACGGAUUUUUGAGGGAAUUUUGAAGGGAUUUUUGGGAAUUUUGGGAAGAUUUUGAGGGGGAUUUUGGGAGGAUUUCCAAGGGGAUUUUAGGGAAUUUUGGGGAGAAUUCCGAGCGGAUUUUUGGCAGUUUUUGAGGGAAUUCCGAGGGGAUUUUAGGGAAUUUUUGGGAGAAUUCCGAGCGGAUUUUUGGGAGAAUUCCGAGCGGAUUUUUGGGAGUUUUUGAGGGAAUUCCGGGGGGAUUUGAGGGAAUUUUUGAGGGAAUUCCGAGGGGAGUUUUGGGAACUUUUGUGAGAAUUUCCAAGGGGAUUUUCGGGAAUUUUUGGGAGAAUUCCGAGCGGAUUAUUUGGGAGUUUUUGAGGGAAUUCCAAGCGGAUUUUAGGGAAUUUUUGAGGGAAUUCCGAGCGGAUUUUAGGGAAUUUUUGGGAGAAUUUCCAAGGGGAUUUUAGGGAGUUUUUGAGGGAAUUUCGAGGGAAUUUUUGGGAGAAUUUCGAGCGGAUUUUGGGGAGUUUUUGAGGGAAUUCCGAGGGGAUUUUUGGGAAUUUUUGGAAGAAUUUCGAGUGGAUUUUGGGAGUUUUUGAGGGAAUUCCGGGGGGAUUUUUGGGAGGAUUUGGAGGGGAUUUUGCGGGAAUUUUUGGGAGAAUUUCCAAGGGGAUUUUAGGGAAUUUUUGAGGGAAUUCCGAGUGGAUUUUGGGGAGUUUUUGAGGGAAUUCCGAGGGAAUUUUUGGGAGAAUUUCGAGCGGAUUUUAGGGAAUUUUUGAGGGAAUUCCGAGGGGAUUUUUGGGGGGAUUUGGAGGGAAUUUUUGUGAGAAUUUCCAGGGGGAUUUUUGGGAAGUUUUGGGAGAAUUCCGAGCGGAUUUUAGGGAAUUUUUGAGAGAAUUCCGAGGGGAUUUUUGGGAAUUUUUGGGAGAAUUUCGAGCGGAUUUUUGGGGAGAUUUUGAGGGAAUUCCGAGGGGAUUUUAGGGAAUUUUUGGGAGAAUUUGGAGUGGAUUUUUGGGGUAUUUUUGGGGGGAUUUUGAGGGAAUUUUUGAGAGAAUUUCCAAGGGGAUUUUAGGGAGUUUUUGGGAGAAUUUCGAGCGGAUUUUGGGUAUUUUUGGGAGAAUUUUGAGCGGAUUUUGGGGAGUUUUUGAGGGAAUUCCGUGGGGAUUUUAGGGAAUUUUUGUGAGAAUUUCCAAGGGGAUUUUAGGGAAUUUUUGAGGGAAUUUCGAGCGGAUUAUUUGGGAGUUUUUGAGGGAAUUCCGAGGGGAUUUUUGGGAAUUUUUGGGAGAAUUCCGAGCGGAUUUUGGGUAUUUUUGGGGGGAUUUUGAGGGAAUUUUUGUGUGAAUUUCCAAGGGGAUUUUAGGGAAUUUUUGGGAGAAUCCCGAGGGGAUUUUUGGGAAUUUUUGAGGGAAUUCCGAGGGGAUUUCGGGAGAACUUUUCGAGAGAUUUUCCGAACGGAUUUUUGAGGGA
rnacentral:lncRNA from 1 species